rnacentral:rRNA from 1 species
GACGAACGCUGGCGGCGUGCUUAACACAUGCAAGUCGAACGAUGAACCCGGAGCUUGCUCCGGCGGAUUAGUGGCGAACGGGUGAGUAACACGUGAGUAACCUGCCCUUGACUCUGGGAUAACUGCUAGAAAUGGUAGCUAAUACCGGAUACGACCCUCGGUGGCAUCACCAGGGGGUGGAAAGAAUUUCGGUCAAGGAUGGACUCGCGGCCUAUCAGCUAGUUGGUGAGGUAACGGCUCACCAAGGCGACGACGGGUAGCCGGCCUGAGAGGGUGACCGGCCACACUGGGACUGAGACACGGCCCAGACUCCUACGGGAGGCAGCAGUGGGGAAUAUUGCACAAUGGGCGUAAGCCUGAUGCAGCAACGCCGCGUGAGGGAUGACGGCCUUCGAGUUGUAAACCUCUUUUAGUAGGGAAGAAGCGAAAGUGACGGUACCUGCAGAAAAAGCACCGGCUAACUACGUGCCAGCCGCCGCAGUAA